GAUGAACGCUGGCGGCGUGCCUAAUACAUGCAAGUCGAGCGAACAGAUGAGGAGCUUGCUCCUCUGACGUUAGCGGCGGACGGGUGAGUAACACGUGGAUAACCUACCUAUAAGACUGGGAUAACUUCGGGAAACCGGAGCUAAUACCGGAUAAUAUAUUGAACCGCAUGGUUCAAUAGUGAAAGACGGUUUUGCUUUCACUUAUAGAUGGAUCCGCGCUGCAUUAGCUAGUUGGUAAGGUAACGGCUUACCAAGGCAACGAUGCGUAGCCGACCUGAGAGGGUGAUUGGCCACACGGGAACUGAGAAACGGUCCAGACUCCUACGGGAGGAAGCAGUAGGGAAUCUUCCGCAAUGGGCGAAAGCCUGACGGAGCAACACCGCGUGAGUGAUGAAGGUCUUCGGAUCGUAAAACUCUGUUAUUAGGGAAGAACAAAUGUGUAAGUAACUAUGCACGUCUUGACGGUACCUAAUCAGAAAGCCACGGCUAACUACGUG
rnacentral:rRNA from 1 species